rnacentral:tRNA from 1 species
GGGGAUGUAGCUCAAUUGGUAGAGCCCUAAUCUAUGUUUGAUAGAGGCAGGGGGAUUGAUACCUCGCAUCUCCA